GACGAACGCUGGCGGCGUGCCUAAUACAUGCAAGUCGAACGCAGUGGGGACGGGUGAGUAACACGUGGGAAACCGCGCGUCAGAGGGGAAAACACUUGGAAACAGGUACGAAACCGAUCCUGAUGGAUGGACCCGCGGUGCAUUAGCUAGUUGGUGAGGUAACGGAUAACCAAGGCCACGAUGCAUAGCCGACCUGAGAGGUUGAUCGGCCACACUGGGACUGAGACACGGCCCAGACUCCGACGGGAGGCAGCAGUAGGGAAUCUUCGGCAAUGGAUGAAAGUCGUACCGAGCAACUCCGCGUGAGUGAAGAAGGUUUUCGGAUCGUAAUACUCUGUUUUUAGAGAAGCGGUAUCUAACCAGAAAGCCACGGCUAACUACGUGCCAGUAGCCGCGGUAAUAC
rnacentral:rRNA from 1 species